rnacentral:rRNA from 1 species
UCUUGGCCAGCCUUCUGAAAGGGAGAUUAAUACAAGAUGUUAUCAUGAGUAAGCAUUUUCACAUGAUUAAAGGUUUGCCGGUGUAAGAUGGGGAUGCGUUCCAUUAGAUAGUAGGCGGGGUAACGGCCCACCUAGUCUUCGAUGGAUAGGGGUUCUGAGAGGAAGGUCCCCCACAUUGGAACUGAGACACGGUUCAAACUCCUACGGGAGGCAGCAGUGAGGAAUAUUGGUCAAUGGACGAGAGUCUGAACCAGCCAAGUAGCGUGAAGGAUGAAGGUUCUAUGGAUUGUAAACUUCUUUUAUACGGGAAUAAACGAAUCCACGUGUGGAUUUUUGCAUGUACCGUAUGAAUAAGGAUCGGCUAACUCCGUGCCAGCAGCCGCGGUAAUACGGAGGAUCCGAGCGUUAUCCGGAUUUAUUGGGUUUAAAGGGAGCGUAGAUGGGUUGUUAAGUCAGUUGUGAAAGUUUGCGGCUCAACCGUAAAAUUGCAAUUGAUACUGGCAGUCUUGAGUACAGUUGAGGUAGGCGGAAUUCGUGGUGUAGCGGUGAAAUGCUUAGAUAUCACGAAGAACUCCGAUUGCGAAGGCAGCUUACUAACCUGUAACUGACAUUGAUGCUCGAAAGUGUGGGUAUCAAACAGGAUUAGAUACCCUGGUAGUCCACACGGUAAACGAUGAAUACUCGCUGUAGGCGAUAUACGGUCUGCGGCCAAGCGAAAGCAUUAAGUAUUCCACCUGGGGAGUACGCCGGCAACGGUGAAACUCAAAGGAAUUGACGGGGGCCCGCACAAGCGGAGGAACAUGUGGUUUAAUUCGAUGAUACGCGAGGAACCUUACCCGGGCUUAAAUUGCAACCGAAUAUGGCGGAAACGCCAUAGCUAGCAAUAGCGGUUGUGAAGGUGCUGCAUGGUUGUCGUCAGCUCGUGCCGUGAGGUGUCGGCUUAAGUGCCAUAACGAGCGCAACCCUUGCCGAUAGUUACUAACA